rnacentral:rRNA from 1 species
CCUGGCGGCUGUAGCGCGGUGGUCCCACCUGACCCCAUGCCGAACUCAGAAGUGAAACGCUGUAGCGCCGAUGGUAGUGUGGGGUCUCCCCAUGCGAGAGUAGGGAACUGCCAGGC